UCAGGCUGGACAUAAGGAAGAAUUUCUUUACUGUCCGAGCCCCCAAGGUCUGGAACAGCCUGCCGCCGGAGGUUGUUCAAGCGCCUUCAUUGAACACCUUCAAGAUGAAACUGGAUGCUUAUCUUGCUGGGAUCCUAUGACCCCAGCUGACGUCCUGCCCUUUGGGCGGGGGGCUGGACUCGAUGAUCUUCCGAGGUCCCUUCCAGCCCUAAUGUCUGUGAAAUCUGUUGUCCAAAAUUUGACUAUUGACUGAAUGAAACUGAUAUCCACUGAUAAUGGUGACUAAAAUCUAGUUUACCCAAAUACACUAAGAGUUCAUCCUCACAGCAAGAUCUAUGGUUUAGUUCACAUUUAAUUUCCCUAAUCACUUGUUAUAUAUUUUGGAAACCUGUAAAUACCAUAUGUCUCUGUCCAAGCCAGCAGCUGCUCUUUCCCCUCUAUUUUAGGGAAAAGUAAAUUUCAUCAUAUAAAAUAAAAACUGGUAUGAGCUUUCUCCCAAAACUUGAAACAGAUCCAAGCUGACUAUCACUAAUCACUGAAAAAGUUUGGAUAAUAUUUUUUAAACAAUUGUCUAGAUCAUUUUAUUUACAGCAUUAGAGUGACUUAGUGCUCUGGAAAUAUUAUUUCCAGAGUCAUUGGGUCCUGGCAGACAUUAUGUUUAUCACACUAUUGCAUAAUAAAUUGUAAUAUGCCACACAUUCAGCCAUUUUAUUACAUGAUGCAAAUGGCAAACCAGCCACAAAGGUUCUUCACAUUUAAUGUGGAUGAUGUUUCAUAUUUAAUGUGAAACAUGUUUGUGGCUCAUUUGUAUUUCACUUUAAUUUGCAUGUGUAGCGUGUUAAAGCCGCCUGACAUGGCAGGUCUCAUGAUCCUUGGGAUUCGGAACAAAAUUCCUCAGAUCCUAUUGCACGUUUAAAUUAAUAUCUGCCAGGGGCCAUAGAUGAUAGGCAAGGUCCCGGAGGACUGGAGAAUGGUUUUAAAAAGGGGAUAAAAAGAUGACCAAUGACCAGAGGCAUGUAGACUGAUAAGUCUAAGUUCAACACAAGAAGUUAUUAGAACAAAUGAUGAAAACAUUUGUAUGUAUCUUCUUACAAAUAUAAAACAUUUGCUCUACCAAACAAAUAUUUGUAAAACAUUUGUAAAUACCUGGAGAAGGAAAGAGGGACCACUAGCAGCCAACAUGGAUUUGAUAGGAACAUAUUAUACCAAAACAACUUGAUAUCCUUCUCUGACAGUGUAACUAGACUGGUGGAUGAGGAAAGUGCAUUGUAUAUAAUAUUCCAGGAAUUCAUUAAGGCUUUUGUUGCAGUUCCACAUAACAUUCUCAUAGGCAAGCUGAAGAAACGUGGGCUACAUAGAAGUACCAUUAGGUGGAUAGAUAAUUGGUCAAACAACUGCAAACAAAGAGCAACUAUUAAUGGAUUAAUAUCAGAAUGAUAGGAAGUUUCAAGUGGGGUACCACAGAGAUCUGUUCUGGGUCUGAUGCUGUUAACAUUUUUAAGAAUGAUUUAGGUGUAUGUAUAGAGCAUGCUAAAUAAGUUUGCAGGUGACACAAAGUGAGUGGGGUGCAAGUACUUUAGAGGAUUCAAAAGGCUCUUGAUAAAUUAGAUCACAAACUCAAUGACAGUUAGCGAUGUGAAGUUACAUUAAUUGAAAUAUUGUAUGCAAAAUGCAAGUAGGUAGAGUACCACUCUAAUCAGUGCUAGCUAGGCCUCAUCUGGAGAAUUGUGUCUAGUUGUGGGCACAGCAUUUAAGAAGCAUGUACAGAAACAAAAGAAGACCUAACAAUAGGUGACAAAGAGAAAGAUUGAGAGAACUAGAUACAUUUCAUUUGGAGAAAAUUGUUAUAAAAUGACCUGGCACCCAUCUGCUUUGGUUGUAUUAAUGAUCUACUGCUGAUCAUUCUAAACUUGACCCCCUAAGUCAUUUUACACUUAAAUUCAAUAAAAUGAUGUAACAGGGCCCGUGCCCCAUUAUUGAGAAGGGGAGGGAGCCCAGGGCUCGUUAGCCAGCCCAGCCCCUUGAACAGACUAAAUAGGAAAAAGGAACCUUAAAUAAGAUGGCUGCCUGCCCCAGGUGUAAUCUGUGAUUGGCAGGCCUGCAGUGGAAGUACAGCAUCAGGUGAUCCAGGGAGAGGCUCAAAAGCUCGGGACUUGUCUGGUUGUAGGAGCUGCAGAAAGCAGAGUUCCAGGGAACUAAUCUGGACUGCCUGGAGGAAAGGCUGGGUACCACAGAAGGGUAGAAGAGACCCUGUGCUGUGAGCAACAUGAAAUAAGUACUUUGAACCUUUUGCAUUUAUGCUAUUGUGGGGUGAAAUUAACCCUUGCAGAGAAGCUUGUAUUUGGCAAGCCUUUUGUUUAAAAGUGAAUGCUCGUACUUUUGAUUUACAUUUACACUGGAGGACUAGGGUAGCUGUAAGGGGGUGGAUUGUAGGUCAUUGGAAUGCAGCAGGAGCACCUAGCUCAGAGCAUUCCCACAGCCCAGUACUGGCAGGAGUCCAAAUACAUUCAGCAAGAAGAUUGUGGUGUGUCAAAAGACUGCAUAUCUGAAAGCAAAAACUGGGGAGUGUAACUUUCAUGUCCACAGGGGGCAUGAUUAGGGGCUGAGUGGUCCAGAGCCUGUGAGGGGUUAGAGUUGGUGCUCAAGGACCUGGUAUAUUAGUGUGGCAGAAAGCUACCUCUGUGUCUACACAGAGCAGAGUUUUUGGGGAAAUUUGGUUAAGAUGGGCCCUGCAGAGGGUACACACCUUACCCUAUCUCUUUAGGUAACCUAAGCUGGAUACAUUCCUGAGGGAGGGGGGAAACCUGCUCCCUCUGCCUACGUGACUAGCAUCACAUACCUGAGUGAGGGGCUUGGGUUCCCUGGGGAGCUAGGAACUGCCAGUCUGCCCAGCAACUAGUGAUGCAUUUCAAAUUGGUUGGCUGAUAGCCAACAGGUGCUGGCCUCCAUUGGACCAGGUAAAUGAGGUCAUAAGGGCUAUAUAAGUUAAGGACUGCCCAGGAAAAGGGAGCAGCAGCUGUGAGGAAGACUCGGAGAGAGAGAAGAGCUGGACCAUCUGAAACUUGCUCUCUCUCUCAAAACUCAUGAUCAAUGAACUGCCUGCCUCCAGAGGCAAUCUCCACCUGCCUCUGGAUGAUACUUGUAAGAAAUGCAUGUUGCAAGGAGUUCCCGCCAUUUGUGUUCUAAUUCGAGCCCCAUUAUUGGCUUGCGCUAAAUUAUUCACACGUGGCGGCUGGCGAUUGGCUUGUUAGCCAUAUAAGAGGCUUGAGUGGUUUCCGCCCAAGUUGGAGGACUCCAUGACUAUCAGGAGGAAGAGAACUUCACGUCUUGUGAAGAUCUCUAAGCGCUGUGGAGCCUAUUGGACCCAGCGUAUUCAAAGAAGGCAACAGGGGUCUGAUCAGCUUCUAGCCUCUCCCCGUCACCGAGCGCAAUCCUCGACGUAUCCCUCUUCGCUGCGCGCAAAAAGGAUCCACGGAGCCUCAACAACUCCAUGGGAGUGAUCCGAAUACUGUCUGAGUCCUCCACCACGACCAUCUUCGGUGUAAGUAAACAAUCUUGAAUCAACCAUUAUGAGUCCGUGCCUAAUUCUAGCGUGUCGCCUGCUUUCUCCGACCCAGCGUGCCUGGGCUGCUGGCCACAGCCCACGCGGCACGAAAAAGGGCCCGGAUCGCUCCCGGCCCGCACAGGGGCCACCGCCCUGCAAAGCUGUAAAAUCAAGUGACGAUGGCAGGUGAGAUAACCAUAGUGCGGGGAAGAACCCAGAGAGUCUGAAAGCAAGAGUGAGGAUGUUGGGGUCUGGUAGCAAGCCAGGCCAGGAACCUUGUCAUGUCAGUACUGAACAUUUUGGUUACAGGUGACUAUUAAUCUUUGCAGUAUUGGCAAUGAUCUUAAUACCCUUUUAAUGCAUUAUUUUUGGUAAUCCCUCAAAGCAAGAACAAAUCUCAUUGACUUCCUAUAUAUUAUGCUUCAUAAAGAGGAUUCUUGAGAAGCAUUAGAUUGCUCCUCUACCAGGCAUUCCUGGGUUCAUAGCUAGGAUCUCAAAAACUGUGAACUUGAUAAUGUAAAUCUCUGGAACAUAACCCAUCUCAAAUAAGAGUAAUACAAAUAACAGUAUAGUUACUUGCAUUGGCAACAUGUAUUCUGUUCAGAACCAUCAUGCAAUGUGUCUUGGCUGGCAGAAAGUGAGAGUUUCAUAGUUUCAUAGUAGCUAGGGUCAGGAGGGACCUGAACAGAUCAUCUAGCCUGACCCCCUGCCACAGGCAGGAAUGAAUGCUGGGUUCACAAGACCCCAGACAGGUGACCAUCCAACCUCCUCUUGAAUUUGCCCAAGGUAGGGGCGAGGACCACCUCCCUGGUAUACUACACAAUCCCCAAGGAAGCAAAUAUCUUAUUGUUUUACAGUGACCACUUUUUCUAAGAAGUGCCCAAGGUUUGUUUCUACGAAGAGUAUUCCCUCCAGACUGCUUUGAUCAGAAAGGAAGUAGAAGUGAUACUGUAGAAGCAGUAUAUGCUGCUUCUACUCUUUCUUAUUCCUCUCCAACCCCCUGUCAAGUAGCUAAGUAUUACUAGCACCACCUUACAGAGAAGAAAACAAGGAAGUCAUGUCAGUGGCGAGAUUAGCACUCAAAUAUUUAGUUCCCAGUCUUGUUUUCAGAUCACCAGACCACAUCUCUUAGGGGAGAGAGUUGUACCCAGAGCUAUUAGUGAGUAGGGUGGGGAACACAAAAGACUAUGUGUAUACUGGAGAUCUAUGGGAAUCCAUUGGGUAUUUGAUGAUCUGUUCAGCAGUUUGUUGGGAAAAUGAUAAUGAAACAAGCCAUUUCCCUUGAUCUUUCCCUGUAUCUAUUAACAAAAGUUCUGUCUGAAAAGAACCAUGCCAUAGAGGACCCAGACAAUGAUUAAGGUCUGAGAGGAUCCAUCCAAACCUGCUGUGGUAUGACUUCAUUUAUUGUAACACCACAACCUUUCCCUAGCAGCUUCUGCAUGUGAAGAAGGAAAAUAGCUGGCUGUACUGUGACAUCAUUAUCCACUCCUGCAGAAAAGAAGCCUCAGGUCAUAUUUGUUCCAUCAGCAUUUAUUACACAGGGGAAUUAGUUUGCCUGGCAUUUGUCCGACUAUGGCUGCAUUCUUACUAGUUGCAUCAUGCAACACCUGUUUUCACUUGUAAUAGCUGGUAUUUAUACAAUACAGUUGUUAUCCCUUUCUCUUUUUAGAGGAGGCAUAAAUAUGCCUAACCUAACCUUCUCUCAAAGUAAUAUACUAAAUCUACCAAAUGGGUGUCAUCCUGCACAAAGGAAGCCUAUGCCUUCAUUCUGUCAACCACUAUAAUCAUUUAAAAUAUUUAACCAGGGUCUUAUUAUCUCUCACAUUCCAGGUGUUUAAAUUGUACAUUCAUUCCAGCACACCUACAAUACUCAAUAGAAAGAAUAUAUCAAACUAAGACUAUAAGCUAUGUUCUCUACUCAGUAGCCACAUCAACACGAGACACUGACAGCGCAGUAGCCCGUGACUACUGCUCAGUAGCAUCAUAUCGUAGGAAGCGUGACACAAUGCAACUCUGCAGCAGUCAUGAGUUACUGUGCAGUUGGCGUUUUGAAACAGCCAUUCCUCAGAUGCAGUAACUCUGGUUAUAUGGGUACUUAAUGACUGCAUAGUCGGUGUCUUGUGUAGACCUAAGUUUAUACCAGUGUAACUAUGUCGAAAUCAGUAUAUUAACUGGCCAAAAGCUGGCUUGAAAGAAUCAGGCCUUACAGAACUGUUUCCAGAGAACAAAUAAGUAAAAGUGAAACCGCAAAGUAUCUCAGGCAUGGCUAACAUUAUAUUCUGUUAGCCAGAGAAACAGGCACAAGAGGCAUCUGGAAGAGAAAAUUAACUAAAAUAUAAAGUAGUGAUAUAAACAAGAAGAAAUACAGGCCCCCCCAGCUUAUAAAACUGGGCUUGAUGAAUGUCACAUAAUUUAGGCUGCUACUUUUUCCCUCGGAAAAUACAACAAAUCAGAGAGGAAAAUAUUUAAACCAAUAAACAUUUCAAUCAGGGAUCAAUGGGAGGAAUAAAAGAUAAAAGCACAGAAGAAAAAAAUAAGCUGCCAACAGCACUGGACAAAGCAUGCUGUUCCAGCUGCCAGCGGAGGGUUCUGGAUUGAGAGUAUGGUCGGGAGUAAAAAGGUAAGAAAGUUUUAUUGACUUAACAAACACACAACUACGCAUAAAUAAUAAGACUACAAUGACAGACCAUAACAAUUCACGUUGGCAACUUAACGGCAGCCCCUCUGAUGCCUGAUGUACAAGUUCCUCUCCUUCAAAGGUCAGCGAAGUCAGGUGUCCCCAAUCUGCGUUGUCUGAGGGGUAUCAGGAAGGACCCUAGUAUUCAGGCCUCAGGCUCCUCGAGAUCCAUGGGCCCACUGAAUCCAGGUCAGCAGCUAACUUUAAAUCAGUAGCUUCUCUCACAGGGCUGCAUCUUCUUUCUAAUGAUUUCCAGAUGUGCCAGCCAAUUUAUAACUUCUGAGCUAUGCUGAUAACUUACAGCCAUUCAGAUUCUUUCACUACAAUUUUUCUUACAACUGACGAAUAGCAGUAAAAGCCUUUGCAUUCUUCUGAUAAGGUUAAUUUUUAACUGUGCCACAAAGCUUACUACUACUUCUACAAGGCCUUGCUAAAUUUACUCAGGCUCACUACAUACAAGGCCUCACUAAUCUUUGACUUUAAUUAGGCUCUUAGUGGUGACAUACAGCUUACAAUACAUGAACAAAUGCCAAAAAAAACUGGUCUAAUCCUCACAGUGUUCAGCAAGCACCUUAGAAACACUUCUCAGCUGUCUCACAUGCUAUAUACAGAAUUUACUGAAUAACAAAAGACAAUUAUUUCAGAAUAAUUAUUUAGUGCCAUGAUGCCAAAAAAUCACAACCAAUAUUCACAGGUUAUUGUUUGACCAUCUGCUGACCUGACUAAACAAUGAAGACAUGUAUUCUUUUCAUUAUGCAAUAAGAAAAUGCCAGACAAGUGCAUUCAUCAUUGCUAGAAAAAUACCCUCCAUAGAAAGUACCUGAAUUAUAGAAUCAUACAAUUGGAAGGGACCUCAAGGGUCAUCUAGUCCAACCUCUUGCACAGAUGUAGGAUUUGCUAUUCCUAAACCAUCUCAGACAGAUGGCUAUUCAGCUUCUUGAAAACCUCCUAUGAAGAAGAUUUCACAACUUUCCUAGGCAGCUUGUUUAAUUCUCUAGUGUUUAUACAGUUGGAAACAUUUCCCCUGAGGUUUAAUUUAAAUCUGCUUCACUACAAUUUAAACCCAUUGCCUUAUGUCCUACUUUCUGUGCCAAGUGAGAAUGGAUGUUCUUCCUUUUCAGUAUGAAAGUUUUUCAGAUAUUUGCACACUACUAUGAUGUCCUCCUUUCAUUUCCUUUCCUCCAGUCUAAACAUACCUAGGUCCUGCAACUUUUUAACCUCAUAUAGCUUACUUCCCAAUCUCUUUAUUUUCAUCACUUGCUUCUGGGCCCCUUCCAGUUUCCCUAUAUGCUUCACAAAAUAUGACAUCCUGCACUGGAGGCAAUACUUCAGCUGAUGUCUCAACUGUACUAAGCUGAGCAGUACCAUCAUUUCCUAAUCUAUGCAUACAAUUAUUUUUAUUAUUUAAAUUAUGUACAGGCUAAUUGGCCACUUGGACUCUGCCCUCCUUUUGGAUAUCCAAGGAUCCAUUUCCUUCAAAAUUCUGUCUUCUCUUUAUGCCUGGGAAGGCACUUUCUCCUGUCAGAUUUCAACUUGACUGAAGCAGUUGUGGUAUCUGUGACCUUUUGACUGUUUUUCCAUAUUAUCCACACUUAGGAAUGAAAACACUAAGCAAGCUACAGCUGAUUUAACAGUCCAUCUGAUCAUGAACACAGGACUGCAUGGGCUGCCUUAAUGAGAAGUGGGCACAUGUCCUCAAUAGCUUGUGAUAUUACAGAGGUCAUAGCAAAUUCUCUAUCUUAAGUGGCAUUUUUCUAAACUGAAUGCUUGCAAAAUAUCCUCUUGGCUUGAGUUUGCUUAUUUCCUCUACAAAACAAAGUGAAUGUUUACUAUGAGCGCUGUAAGCCAGUAGAGCAAUAAGAGUAAAUUGAAUGAUAUACUAUCUUAUGCAACAGCAAAACUGUCAGCCAAAUUGUGAGUUCAGAAUAUUUUUAAGUGGCAGAAAAUUUUUCCAAAUCCCAAACUGUUACAGUGCUGAUAGAUUAAAAUGUUAUCUUUUUUUACACAUGAGUUGACCCAAUUUGAUAGAAAUGUUACUGAGAAAAUAAAUAGAACCCUGCCAUUUCAGUUUGCAUUACUUUUCUGAUGAUAGUUAUGCUAAAAAAUGUAGCAUGACUGUCUAGGGACCAAAAGCCAAACUGUCUCAGAAAAUGUCCCUGAGAUCUGAGCAUGAUCCUCUUGCUUUCUGCAUGGAAGUGAUAAAGGCUAAGUAUAGACAGUUAAAAAGCCUGAGGCUGAAUCGAUUCAGUCUUUGCAGGUUAGUCUAACCUGCAAAGAGAUUAAACUGAAAAACAACUGGACAGACAUUCACUUUGGAUUCAGGAAAUGCGGCCACAUGCCUGCAGUGGUUCAGGCCAGAAGCCAGGGGAUGCUAGAGCACAGGUCUCUGGCAUAUAUCUGUGUGUUCACUAGGGCUGUGCCGAAUUUUGAAGCCAGUAUUGUUUUGACACUGUUUCAAUUUGUUUCAAGGUCAAAACAGCAAAAUCAAAAUGAAACAGAUAUCGUCUAAGCAGCCUCUAAACACAACAAGGCAAGUUGAAAUGUUUCACCAUUUUGAUGCUGUUUCGACAUUUCCCCCAUAGGCUAUAUGGGGAAGGUUGAAACAGCCUAAAACGUUGUCAUUUUUGGCCUGAUUUGGAUGAAACUUGCAGGAAUGGUAGCCCCUUGUGAGGGCAUGAAGCCUACCAAGUUUCAAGGAGAUGGGUUGCUUCUGUACCUUUAACAGUGAAGUUUCAAGGAGUUCCCAGCUCCAUAUUAAUUCUUUCCUCUCAUUAGUCUGUGGUUUCGUUAAUCCUUGCUCAUUAACUCAUUAUCGUAGCUAGCUACUGUGUUAUGCAAUCAAUCAUGAUUCACUCAGGGACCAGCUCAAUACAGGGUGGUCAGUGGUUCAAUUCCUGCCCUUGGUAAUGUUGUUAUAUGGUACAACUUACUUUUAAUCAUAAAGUACAUUUAUUACAAAGUUAAAAAGCAUAAAAUAUAAAAGGGAAAAUUGCCAUGGCACAUACAACAAAUAGACCAAAUAAAGUGAGGAGGAGACAUACCAAUGCAGAAUACUAUUUUAUACCCAUAAAAGCACCUACAAAAUAUAUUUUUAUUACAAGUAUACCUUAACUUUGUAACAAAUGACAGAGCUGGGAACUCCUGGAAACUUCACUGUUAAAGGUACAGAAGCCCCGAUUUGAACUAAUGAACACUGGAGACUGACUUUUGGGGCUAAAAUACCCCCUGAUCAACCACUCCCAGAGCCCUAUUCAUCAUGGCAGUGAAUUAAUCAACAUCCAUCAACGGACUCCUGAGACUGCACGUAUUCGCGGAUGUGACCCCUGGGGCUGACAGCUGCCAUCUAGCAGCCACCAAGGGGGACGUCCCACAAGGUCAAUGACCCCUGGAUUGGGUAAGCCCGAGAAUUGGGGAGUCACCAAAGUCUGCCAGAGAGGGAUAAAAGGCAACGAAGAAUGACCCCCAAUGGCAUCAUUUUUGACCUGAGCAACACACUGCCAGUCCAGCCAGAAGGACCAGCCGGCGACCCACUUCUGAAGCAACAUCGCACUGAAAGAAGUCUCAACUGGCCAUUGACAGCUGACUCCAGCGCUUGGGGAUAGGUAUAUCUUGACAUCAGUGCUUAGUAUUCAUAGCUAGCUACUGCGAGUGUGUGUGUGUGUGUGUGCAUGAAUGUGUGUGUGUUUGAGGGGAGCAGCCCCAAGGUUUAUGAUCUGACUUUUGCAUCCAUCUAAUAAACUAGAAUUUUAUGAUGA